CAACCCUGAUGGCCUCCUACAGAUGGUGGCCCUGUUGACAGGCAAGUUCAGCAACAUCGUGGAGAAGUUUGUAAUUGUGGACUGCAGAUACCCCUAUGAGUAUGAAGGCGGGCAUAUCAAGGUGAGACGGGUGCUGGUAAGGCCAGGCCCUCCAUUCAGAUUCCUUGCCGAGAAGAUGAAUAGCCUUCCAUGGUGAAUUUCCUAUGGGGAGGAUUUCUGCUCAGCAAGAGGUGGGGUUACUUACCUGGGAACUGAACAAGAAGGGCCAUGGUGCAGGCUUCAGCUUGACCCCCAGAUCCUCUGACAGAAUGCUGUGAACUUGCCCCUGGAACCGGAUGCCGAGACCUUUCUGCUGAAGCAUCCCAUCACGCCUUGUAACCUGGACAAGAGAAUCAUCCUCAUUUUCCACUGUGAAUUCUCAUCUGAGCGUGGACCACGGAUGUGCCGCUUCAUCAGGGAACGGGACCGUGCAGCUAACGACUAUCCCAGCCUGUACUACCCUGAGAUGUACAUCCUC
rnacentral:lncRNA from 1 species